UCCAUGGAGGACUAGUGGUUAGGCCUCGGUGGUCUCACCGCCGCAGCCAGGGUUCAAUUCCCGGCCAGGAAA